rnacentral:rRNA from 1 species
AACGUAGGACGCAAGCGUUAUCCGGAGUUACUGGGCGUAAAGCGCGGGCAGGCGGCUCGAUGCGUCUGAUGUGAAAUCUCCUCGCUCAACGGGGAGAGGCCAUUGGAAACGGUCGAGCUGGAGGGCAGUAGAGGCAGGCGGAAUUCCGGGUGGAGUGGUGAAAUGCGUAGAGAUCCGGAGGAACACCAGAGGCGAAGGCGGCCUGCUGGGCUGCCCCUGACGCUGAGCCGCGAAAGCCAGGGGAGCGAACGGG